UACGUAGGGUGCGAGCGUUGUCCGGAAUUACUGGGCGUAAAGAGCUCGUAGGUGGUUUGUCGCGUUGUCCGUGAAAACUCACAACUCAAUUGUGGGCGUGCGGGCGAUACGGGCAGACUGGAGUACUGCAGGGGAGACUGGAAUUCCUGGUGUAGCGGUGGAAUGCGUAGAUAUCAAGCGGAACACCGGUGGCGAAGGCGAGUCCCUGGACAACACCUGACACUGAGGCACGAAAGCUAGGGGAGCAAACAGG
rnacentral:rRNA from 1 species